rnacentral:rRNA from 1 species
AAAGGCGCGCGAUACAGGGUGACAGCCCCGUACACAAAAGCGCAUGUGCUGUGAGCUCGAUGAGUAGGGCGGGACACGUGGUAUCCUGUCUGAAUAUGGGGGGACCAUCCUCCAAGGCUAAAUACUCCUGACUGACCGAUAGUGAACCAGUACCGUGAGGGAAAGGCGAAAAGAACCCCGGCGAGGGGAGUGAAAAAGAACCUGAAACCGUGUACGUACAAGCAGUGGGAGCACAGGUUUACCUGUGUGACUGCGUACCUUUUGUAUAAUGGGUCAGCGACUUAUAUUCUGUAGCAAGGUUAACCGAAUAGGGGAGCCGGAGGGAAACCGAGUCUUAAUUGGGCGUUAAGUUGCAGGGUAUAGACCCGAAACCCGGUGAUCUAGCCAUGGGCAGGUUGAAGGUUGGGUAACACUAACUGGAGGACCGAACCGACUAAUGUUGAAAAAUUAGCGGAUGACCUGUGGCUGGGGGUGAAAGGCCAAUCAAACCGGGAGAUAGCUGGUUCUCCCCGAAAGCUAUUUAGGUAGCGCCUCGUGAAUUCAUCUCCGGGGGUAGAGCACUGUUUCGGCUAGGGGGCCAUCCCGGCUUACCAACCCGAUGCAAACUGCGAAUACCGGAGAAUGUUAUCACGGGAGACACACGGCGGGUGCUAACGUCCGUCGUGAAGAGGGAAACAACCCAGACCGCCAGCUAAGGUCCCAAAGUCAUGGUUAAGUGGGAAACGAUGUGGGAAGGCCCAGACAGCCAGGAUGUUGGCUUAGAAGCAGCCAUCAUUUAAAGAAAGCGUAAUAGCUCACUGGUCGAGUCGGCCUGCGCGGAAGAUGUAACGGGGCUAAACCAUGCACCGAAGCUGCGGCAGCGACACUAUGUGUUGUUGGGUAGGGGAGCGUUCUGUAAGCCUGUGAAGGUGGCCUGUGAGGGUUGCUGGAGGUAUCAGAAGUGCGAAUGCUGACAUAAGUAACGAUAAAGCGGGUGAAAAGCCCGCUCGCCGGAAGACCAAGGGUUCCUGUCCAACGUUAAUCGGGGCAGGGUGAGUCGACCCCUAAGGCGAGGCCGAAAGGCGUAGUCGAUGGGAAACGGGUUAAUAUUCCCGUACUUGGUGUUACUGCGAAGGGGGGACGGAGAAGGCUAUGUUGGCCGGGCGACGGUUGUCCCGGUUUAAGCGUGUAGGUGUGUGUUCCAGGUAAAUCCGGUUCACUUUAACACUGAGGCGUGAUGACGAGGCACUACGGUGCUGAAGCAACAAAUGCCCUGCUUCCAGGAAAAGCCUCUAAGCAUCAGGUAACAUCAAAUCGUACCCCAAACCGACACAGGUGGUCAGGUAGAGAAUACCAAGGCGCUUGAGAGAACUCGGGUGAAGGAACUAGGCAAAAUGGUGCCGUAACUUCGGGAGAAGGCACGCUGACACGUAGGUGAAGUGAUUUACUCA